GGGGGGGGGGGGGGGGGGGGGGGGGGGGGGAGGGGGGGGGGAGGGAGGGGGAGGUUGCUCCUAGGGCGUUAGGGGCGGACGGGUGGGUAACACGUGGAGAACCUACCUAUAAGACUGGGAUAACUUCGGGAAACCGGAGCUAAUACCGGAUAAUAUAUUGAACCGCAUGGUUCAAUAGUGAAAGACGGGUUUGCUGUCACUUAUAGAUGGAUCCGCGCCGCAUUAGCUAGUUGGUAAGGUAACGGCUUACCAAGGCAACGAUGCGUAGCCGACCUGAGAGGGUGAUCGGCCACACUGGAACUGAGACACGGUCCAGACUCCUACGGGAGGCAGCAGUAGGGAAUCUUCCGCAAUGGGCGAAAGCCUGACGGAGCAACGCCGCGUGAGUGAUGAAGGUCUUCGGAUCGUAAAACUCUGUUAUUAGGGAAGAACAAAUGUGUAAGUAACUAUGCACGUCUUGACGGUACCUAAUCAGAAAGCCACGGCUAACUACGUG
rnacentral:rRNA from 1 species